CGAAAACAACAAGCUUACAGGGAAGAUACCAGAUCUUGAUUUCAGCAACCUGAAACAAUUCAAUCUCUCAAACAACAAUUUCAAGGGGAGAAUACCAGAUGUUCAUGGCUUGUUUUCUGCAACUUGUUUUUUGGGCAAUCCUGAAUUAUGCGGAGAACCUUUGCCAAAUAGAUGUCCAAACCCACCUGUUUCAAAAACUCAGAUGAUCAUGUAUUCAGGGUAUGUUGCAUCAGCUUUGGUUCUUUUGUCUAUGGUUAUUUUCUUGCUAGCUAGAAGAAAGAAGAAACAAGAGAAGAUUGAAGAAAUAUCAAACAAGCUUGAACCAACUUUUGAUGACAAAACUGACAAGCCUGGUCCUUCACCAACUGAUUAUAAAGCAGAUCAUAUAAGCAUGAGCAGAUCACAGGUUUCAGGUGAAAGUGCAUUAGUUUCUUCAUCUCUGGUGGUUCUGACUAGUCCAGUGGUGAAUGGAUUGAAACUAGAGGACUUGCUCAAGGCUCCUGCAGAGUUGUUAGGUAGAGGAAAACGGGGUACCCUCUACAAGGUCAUCCUAGAUAAUGGAGCGAUAUUGGCUGUGAAAAGGAUAAAAGAUUGGUCUACCUCAAGCAAUGAUUUCAAGAACAAAAUGCAGAGACUGUACCAAGUUAAACACCCGAAUGUCUCGCCGGCACUCGCCUUUUACUGUUCCGAUCUGGAAAAAUUAGUGGUAUAUGAGUAUCAGCAGAAUGGAAGUCUCUUCCGACUUCUUCAUGGUAUACUUCUUACUUUGAUACCAUAUUAAACAAUUGAUUAAUUGAUUCUCAAAAAGCUUAAACUGAUAAGAAAGAAACAAGCAAUUAGUUAUAUUUUAUCAGUAUAUAUAUGAGAAAGAAUAGUCUUGGAUUUGUUUCAGGGUCCCAAACAGGUGAAGUACUUGACUGGUCAUGCAGACUGGGGAUCGCAGCCACCAUUGCAGAAGCACUGAACUUCAUGCAGCAGGAGCUUAGCAGUGAUGGAAUUAGCCAUGGAAACCUGAAAUCCUGCAACAUCUUAUUCAACAGAAACAUGGAACCUUGCAUUAGUGAGUACGGCAUCAUGGCUGUAGAAGAUAAUCAAGGCAACUCAUCUUCAUCAUUUUCCAUCACCAUUGGUGGCUCCGACGAACAAGAAGCAAUCGGGGGUGCUGGUGCUUUUAGUGCUGACAUUUAUAAUUUCGGUGUGAUUGUUCUUGAGCUACUUACAGGGAAGGUGGCGGAUACGGAUGGAAGGGAGUUGACCAGAUGGGUUCAGUCUGUUGUUAA
rnacentral:lncRNA from 1 species